rnacentral:rRNA from 1 species
GCAAGUCGAACGAGAAAGUCGCCUUCGGGUGGCGAGUAAAGUGGCGCACGGGUGAGUAACGCGUGGGUAAUCUGCCCUUUCGUCUGGAACAACCUCGGGAAACUGAAGCUAAUUCCAGAUAAGACUACGACGACCUAGGUCGAUGUGGAAAAAGGUGGCCUCUCCUUGGAAGCUAUCGCGAGAGGAUGAGCCCGCGUUCCAUUAGCUAGUUGGUGGGGUAAAAGCUCACCAAGACUACGACGGGUAGCUGGUCUGAGAGGACGAUC